rnacentral:rRNA from 1 species
UACAGAGGAUGCAAGCGUUAUCCGGAAUGAUUGGGCGUAAAGCGUCUGUAGGUGGCUAUUUAAGUCCGCCGUCAAAUCCCAGGGCUCAACUCUGGACAGGCGGUGGAAACUACCAAGCUGGAGUACGGUAGGGGCAGAGGGAAUUCCCGGUGUAGCAGUGAAAUGCGUAGAGAUCGGGAGGAACACCAGUGGCGAAGGCGGCUACCUGGACCAGCACUGACACUGAGGCACGAAAGCGUGGGGAGCAAACAGG